GUUUUUAUACGACCGCAAAAAUUAAAAAUUUUUUGGUCGUAUAUUGGUAUGACGUUGGCGUCGUCGUCGUCCGGCGUCGUCGUCGUCGUCGUCGUCGUCCGGCGUCGUCCGAAGACACAUUGGUUUUCGCACUCUAACUUUAGUUUAAGUGAAUGGAUCUCCAUGAAAUUUUACCAUAAGGUUCAAUACCACGAAAGGAAGGUUGGGAUUGAUUUUGGGGGUUAUGGUACCAACAGUUAAGGAAUUAGGGGCCAAAAAGGGGCCAAAAAUAAGCAUUUUUGUAACUUCCAGACAAUAACUUGUGUGUAAGUGUAUGGAUCUCUCUGACAUUGUACCACACGGUUCCAUAUCACAAAAGGAAUGCUGGGAUUGAUUUUGGGGGUAAUUGCCUCAAAAUUUUAGGAAUUAGGGGCAAAAAACAAGCAUUUUUCUAGUUUCAUGACAAUAACUUGUGUGUAAGUGUAUGGAUCUUUCUGAAAUUGUACUACAAGGUUCCAUAUCACAAAGGGAAAGCUGGAAUUGAGUUUGGCGGUAAUUGCCAAAAACGUUUAGGAAUAAGGGGCCAAAAGGGGGCCAAAAAUAAGCAUUUUUGUAACUUCCAGACAUUACUUGUGUGUUAGUGUAUGGAUCUCUCUGACAUUGUACCACAAGGUUCCAUAUCACAAAAGGAAUGCUGGGAUUGAUUUUGGGGGUAAUUGCCUCAAAAUUUAAGGAAUUAGGGGCCAAAAAAGGGCAAAAAAACAAGCAUUUUUCUAGUUUCAGGACUAUAACUUGUGUGUAAGUGUAUGGAUCUUUCUGAAAUUGUACUACAAGUUUCCAUAUCACAAAGGGAAAGCUGGGUUUGAGUUUGGGGGUAAUUGCCCUAAAUGUUUAGGAAUUUGGGGCCAAAAAGGGGCAAAAAAAAACAAGCAUUUUUCUAGUUUCCGGACAAUAACUUGUGUGCAAGUGUACGGAUCUCUCUCAAAUUGUACUGCAAGGCACCAUACAUUAUAACACAAAGGGAAGGCUGGGAUUGAGUUUGGGGGUGAUGAAUCAUAAGGGGGUUCAAAAAAUUUGUGGAGGGAUUUUUUUUUCCUUUUUUUUCUUUAAAAUUUUCAAUUUUAAAUUGGUUAUUUCUGAUUUAUAUAUAAAAGCAAAUAAUAAUAAUAUGGUUUGAAUAGGUAAAUUAAAAAAAUUUAAGUUCUUAGACCACAUUCAUUCUGUGUCAGAAACCUAUGCUGUGU